rnacentral:lncRNA from 1 species
UGCCUCUCGUGCAAGUUACUUCCGGUGUUUCCGGUAUCGGUUGUUUACUUUUCCAUUGUGACGUCAGAUGUUUUUUAUGACGACUUCAAAAUUUACGGGAACUUUUGUAGGGAUAGUUUAAUACUUGCUAACAAAUGCCAUUGACAAUUAUGAAUCAUUUUAUAGUACAACAAACAUGGAGUAGUAAUGAUCGUAAAACUCUUCCAAAUUUUCAAUGUUUCAAAAUGCCUCUAUAGGAAAUGUUACCAUAAAUAUAUAAGUAG